CCUACGGGAGGCUGCAGUGGGGAAUAUUGCGCAAUGGGCGAAAGCCUGACGCAGCGACGCCGCGUGAGGGAUGAAGGUCUUCGGAUCGUAAACCUCUGUUAGCAGGGAAGAACGGUCACUGUGCUAAUCAGCAGUGAAUUGACGGUAUCUGCAAAGGAAGCACCGGCUAACUCCGUGCCAGCAGCCGCGGUAAUACGGAGGGUGCGAGCGUUAAUCGGAAUUACUGGGCGUAAAGCGCUCGUAGGCGGUAUGUCAAGUCAAGGGUGAAAUCCCCGCGCUCAACGUGGGAACUGCCUUUGAAACUGGCAGACUGGAGUGUGUGAGAGGAUAGUGGAAUUCCAGGUGUAGGAGUGAAAUCCGUAGAUAUCUGGAGGAACAGCAGUGGCGAAGGCGACUAUCUGGCACAUAACUGACGCUGAGGAGCGAAAGCGUGGGUAGCAAACAGGAUUAGAUACCCUGGUAGUC
rnacentral:rRNA from 1 species